GUACACGCUGUGACUAGCAUAUCAAUAAGCGGAGGAAAAGAAACUAACUAGGAUUCCCUCAGUAACGGCGAGUGAAGCGGGAAGAGCUCAAAUUUGAAAUCUUCAAGGUUCUACCUUGACGAAUUGUAGUUUAAAGAAGUGUUUUCUGUUGGAGUUUUGGUAAAAGUUCUUUGGAAUAGGACAUCAUAGAGGGUGAGAAUCCCGUAUUUGACCAUUAUUUCCAGCUUUGUGAUACACUUUCAAAGAGUCGGAUUGUUUGGGAAUGCAGUCCAAAAUGGGUGGUAAAUUUCAUCUAAAGCUAAAUAUUGGCGAGAGACCGAUAGCGAACAAGUACCGUGAGGGAAAGAUGAAAAGAACUUUGAAAAGAGAGUUAAACAGUACGUGAAAUUGUCAAAAGGGAAGCGUUUGACACCAGUGUUGUUUUCUCGAAAAUCAAUUAAAAAAGGCAGGAUUUUGUGUUGUAUUGACUUUAUCAGCUUUCUGCACUCUUUUCCUGUCUUUUUUAAUGCACUUUUCGUUUAACAAGUCAACAUCAAUUUCUUUUGUUGUAAAAGGGUCAUUGGAAGGUGGCUUUCUUUUCGGAGAAAGUGUUUAUAGCCCUUGGCCUCUGCAAUCGGAGAGAUUGAGGUCUGCAGCGUAGAUCCUUCGGGGUUAGAUACAUUUGUGCUGAAGUUAUAGCCUUUCAUAGACAACUUGUUGACUAUGAUCAGUCAUGUAGCUUACUCGCUUAUGCUAUUUUACCUACGCUUAGGAUGUUGAAGACUCUACAGAGAUA
rnacentral:rRNA from 1 species